ensembl:snRNA U6 U6 spliceosomal RNA
AUGCUUGCUUCAGCAGCACAUGUACCAAUAUUGGAAUGAUACAGAGAAGAUUAGCAUAGCCCUUGUGCAAGGAUGACACAUAAAUUCGUGAAGUGUUUCUUAUUUGG